UCAACGACCCCCACCCAUACUCAUGACCAUCGUUGAGUAGUCAGAUGAGUUUUGGUAUCGGUCGUUGGGAUAAUAGCCCUGGACACACCUCACAGAGGUUUAAAAGCUGAAGCAACACCAACCACCACCAGAACUGAAGAAGCCUCUUGGAUGAGAGGUGAAACGUCUUCAAGGAACUUUCUUAAAGUCCAGUGGAUUGAUUUAAACAACUCUGGAUAACCAUGACCUGGAUGAAUGAGAACCUACACAGACGUCUGAGGCCGUUAAACUGAAGUCGUCCAUUUUUCAAGCAGAAAGAUCCCAGGAAGGCCGGGACAUGAACUGGGGAUCUUCUAGCCUUCUGAACCUCCUUUUCACGCCAAUACAAUUCAUAAAUUCAUAUUUUUUAAAAACGAAGCUACUGAAGGUAAUGAAGAAAGCGCUUAGGUUGCAGUAAACAUAACCGUUACAGAGACGGAUAACUGAAUGUUGUACCAAUCUGGGAGUCAGGGUUACGAUCUCAGAUCAGACGAGACGACCCGCUGAAUUUAAGCAUAUUACUAAGCGGAGGAAAAGAAAGUAACCAUCGACUAACUAACUAACAAACUAACUCUAACCCAUCAUUAAAGCUCCCAUCACCACUGGGACCUCUGAGGACUUCCACAUCUGUUCCAGUUGUUCCUUCAUCUCCUGGCUUCUCCCUCUUAUCUUUGUUGCUGAGAAUCACUGAUCUCCUUUUUUCCUCCUCUCCCUCCUCCUCCCUCGUCUCUCCCCUCGAUGAUGUCAUUUCCAGGAUGUGUGUGAUGUUUAAUUACCGUCAGGGGGGAGGCAGGAGAGGAGAGGGGAGGCAGGAGGACACACCCUGAUGCCUCCUCCUCCUCCUCUCCCUCAUCUGGUGGACAUGGUGGUGACAUCGUGGUGACAUCAUCGUGUGAUCUGAAUCCAGGAUCAAAGCGACGACAUCACAGCUCAUCUUCAGCAUUCUCCUCCAUCCUGCAGCGAUCACACAUUUACUGGUUUUAUUCUUCCUCUGCUGUCAGUAGAACGUAGAUGUUUCCAUGCUAUUGAUGUCAGAACACUGUAAAAGAAAAAGAAAAUUCAGUUAGAAACUGUUUAAAGUCUGGCAGCAAGAAAAAACACGUAAAUCUGAUGUAAUCGUGUGACAUAAAGCAGUGUAAAAACAGCAGCAGCAGCAGAUGACUGUAAACUAAUAACAGAGUAAAACAGAGGUAGUUUACAGCCACAAAUAAAAGUGAAAAUGCUGAUUUUAGAUGUA